UUCUACGCGGCCCCGCCCAUUCCCUGAUUUCUCGGAUGGAUUGCAACUAAUCAUGAUUCAUUCCCCGAUUCUUCUUUCUCCAUGCCCCUAAUUCCCUCAAGAAAAAGAAAGAACGGAUCCACCAUCGCUUCUCCCUUCCCCUACCUCCGAAUCUGCCCCGAGUUACCCUGCCUCCGGUGGCCGCCCGCGCUCUUGCAAGCCGCCUACGGCCUCCUCUGCAGGACGCCAUGGCCACGGAUUAAAGCUCCGUCGGACUUUCGCUCGCGACUGCCGGCCUUCUUCACGACCAGAUCGACGACGGGGACGACCGGAUCUGCCCCGCCACCUUUCAUUUCUGCCUCGCCUAGCAGCACUGCGCAUCUGCCCCACCUCCCCAGCCAGCGCAGCCGCCCCUCCGUGUCUGAGUCCCUGUGCUGGCCACGCCCACCGCCUGCCCAGCACCGCUCUCCCGUUGCCUUAAACAAUCCAGCUCCACCACUAAUCCAUGCCCCUGCCCCGCGACUGAAGAGGAUCAGGUGACAAAUGUAACAAUUUAUUUGAAUCAAAUGUGAUUUUUCAAUUGUAAAUGUACGAUAGUGCCAAUGUUUAUUCUAUCUGUGUAUCAUCUUCUGUUUACUUCACACGUCUAUUGCACAAUAUCCCAUUUCUGAAUGUUAUGUCUCAAUUUCACAUGCAGUUCAUAUAUUGCAUUGUAAUAACACUUUAUUUCUAACUUAUAAAUCGGAAUGUAACAGGUUCAUUGUAAAUCUGUGACAUUCAUUCUAUAUGAAAUAUGAUAUAUCAGCUUCGGACAAAGAAGUUCAACCUACCACCUUAUUUUCUUGUUAAUGUAUUUUAGUCAAGCUAUCUUAAGUGACUUGUUCCGGCGACGGUCAAGAACUAUCCUGGACAAUGUUAAACAUAGAUAGCAAUGCAUAUUUGCCCUGUUCCACAUGCAUUACAGUUAUGUUGGAUCCUUCUGAAUUUCAUAGAAGCACAAGCUGCUAGCAUAGCGGUGUGCAGGGGGGAGGCCUUGAGCAGACAGGUGACUGCGUCGCUGGGGCAGCGGAUAUGAGGCAUAUCUGCAGGCAGCAGAUGGUAGGCAAGAGGCACAUGGCAGUGUGGCGAGAUGGCCAGUGGCUUGCUGCUGUUGCGAGAGGGCUACCUAGAAGAUGGACAUGAAGAAUAUGGUGCCAGCAAUGGCAAAGGGGAAGGCAGGGAGUGGUAAAGUGAAAGGUUUGACAAGAUACUUUGGCUUAGUAUACGAGAUAUAGAUACUCCACAACAUGUGUAUGGUCGCGUAACUCUUGGUUCUCCUAAAUCAGCCUUCGAUCACAUGAAGGUAUACCCCGGUGCAGGUUUGUGAUAAGAUCGGAUUUGAGGUGUGUUUAUAACGAUCACAUAAAUGAAAGGCUGCAGGAAGAUUUUGGAAAUGGCAAUGGUGUCAACAAAGACAUGAGACAAGAGCUUGGACUGACGGCAUCGAC